AUAUAUGUAGCUCAGUUGGUUAGAGCGCUGCAUGCACCGGGAUCGCAGGGCCUCAGGUUCGAUUCCUGGUAUAUAGA